rnacentral:rRNA from 1 species
GAUGAACGCUGGCGGCGUGCCUAAUACAUGCAAGUCGAGCGAACAGACGAGGAGCUUGCUCCUCUGACGUUAGCGGCGGACGGGUGAGUAACACGUGGAUAACCUACCUAUAAGACUGGGAUAACUUCGGGAAACCGGAGCUAAUACCGGAUAAUAUAUUGAACCGCAUGGUUCAAUAGUGAAAGACGGUUUUGCUGUCACUUAUAGAUGGAUCUGCGCCGCAUUAGCUAGUUGGUAAGGUAACGGCUUACCAAGGCAACGAUGCGUAGCCGACGUGAGAGAGUGGUAGGCCACACUGGAACUGAGACACGGUCCAGACUCCUACGGGAGGCAGCAGUAGGGAAUCGUCCGCAAUGGGCGAAAGCCUGACGGAGCAACGCCGCGUGAGUGAUGAAGGUCUUCGGAUCGUAAAACUCUGUUAUUAGGGAAGAACAAAUGUGUAUGUAAAUAUGCACGUCUUGACGGUAACUAAUCAGAAAGCAACGGCUAACUACGUG